rnacentral:rRNA from 1 species
GAUGAACGCUGGCGGCGUGCCUAAUACAUGCAAGUCGAGCGAACGGACGAGAAGCUUGCUUCUCUGCUGUUAGCGGCGGACGGGUGAGUAACACGUGGAUAACCUACCUAUAAGAAUGGGAUAACUUCGGGAAACCUGAGCUAAUACCGGAUAAUAUUUUGAACCGCAUGGUUCAAAAGUGAAAGACGGUCUUGCUGUCACUUAUAGGUGGAUCCGCGCUGCAUUAGCUAGUUGGUAAGGUAACGGCCUACCAAGGCAACGAUCCAUAGCCGACCUGAGAGGGUGAUCGGCCACACUGGAACUGAGACACGGUCCAGACUCCUACGGGAGGCAGCAGUAGGGAAUCUUCCGCAAUGGGCGAAAGCCUGACGGAGCAACGCCGCGUGAGUGAUGAAGGUCUUCGGAUCGUAAAACUCUGUUAUUAGGGAAGAACAUAUGUGUAAGUAACUGUGCACAUCUUGACGGUACCUAAUCAGAAAGCCACGGCUAACUACGUG